rnacentral:rRNA from 1 species
AUUGAACGCUGGCGGCAUGCCUUACACAUGCAAGUCGAACGGCAGCGGACCUUCGGGUGCCGGCGAGUGGCGAACGGGUGAGUAAUGCAUCGGAACGUACCUUUCAGUGGGGGAUAACGUAGCGAAAGUUACGCUAAUACCGCAUAUUCUGUGAGCAGGAAAGCAGGGGAUCGCAAGACCUUGCGCUGAUUGAGCGGCCGAUGUCAGAUUAGCUAGUUGGUGAGGUAAAGGCUCACCAAGGCGACGAUCUGUAGCGGGUCUGAGAGGAUGAUCCGCCACACUGGGACUGAGACACGGCCCAGACUCCUACGGGAGGCAGCAGUGGGGAAUUUUGGACAAUGGGGGCAACCCUGAUUCAGCCAUGCCGCGUGAGUGAAGAAGGCCUUCGGGUUGUAAAGCUCUUUCGGCCGGGAAGAAAUCGCACAGGCUAAUACCUUGUGUGGAUGACGGUACCGGAAUAAGAAGCACCGGCUAACUACGUGCCAGCCGCCGCGGUAAUAC